CACGUAAGUCUGAGCCUGAGGCAGUCUAUGAGGAGAUCAACCACAGAUACAUGGCUAGAAGAAGCUUCACACAAAGAGGAAGUCUCCUCUCUGAAGAACAGCAUUCUGGGUAUGAGCAUGUGGAUGAUGAGCUUCUCUCAGUAAAGUCUGGGAUCAAAGAAAAGGCUGAGUAUUAUGAUGAUGUCAUGGACACCAGUGACAUCAUAAGUGGGUGAUCCAGGAAGAGUCGACCCACCAGAGGACUACGAUGAUGCCGUCACUGCUGGACCCAUCCCUGAUAACGUGGAUGAGGAUGAAGCUGAGAAUUAUGAUGACGCCAUUACAGCUGAUCAGAAGUCAGUUAUA